rnacentral:rRNA from 1 species
GUUGACCACUGUAGAGAUAUAGUUUCCCCUUCGGGGGCAACGGUGACAGGUGGUGCAUGGUUGUCGUCAGCUCGUGUCGUGAGAUGUUGGGUUAAGUCCCGCAACGAGCGCAACCCUUGAUCUUAGUUGCCAUCAUUUAGUUGGGCACUCUAAGGUGACUGCCGGUGACAAACCGGAGGAAGGUGGGGAUGACGUCAAAUCAUCAUGCCCCUUAUGACCUGGGCUACACACGUGCUACAAUGGACGAUACAAACGGUUGCCAACUCGCGAGAGGGAGCUAAUCCGAUAAAGUCGUUCUCAGUUCGGAUUGUAGGCUGCAACUCGCCUACAUGAAGCCGGAAUCGCUAGUAAUCGCGGAUCAGCAUGCCGCGGUGAAUACGUUCCCGGGCCUUGUACACACCGCCCGUCACACCACGAGAGUUUGUAACACCCGAAGUCGGUGAGGUAACCUUUUGGAGCCAGCCGCCGAAGGUGGGAUAGAUGAUUGGGGUGAAGUCGUAACAAGGUAGCCGUAUCGGAAGGUGCGGCUGGAUCACCUCCUUUCUAAGGAUAUUUCGGAAUACAAACCUUGGGUUUGUAGAUUACGUUUUGCGUUCAGUUUUGAAGGUUCAUUCUAUCUGAAUGAAACACUUC